rnacentral:rRNA from 1 species
AGAGUUUGAUCCUGGCUCAGGAUGAACGCUGGCGGUAUGCUUAACACAUGCAAGUCGAACGGAGUACUUCGGUACUUAGUGGCGGACGGGUGAGUAACGCGUGAGAAUCUGCCUUCAGGUUCGGGACAACCACUGGAAACGGUGGCUAAUACCGAAUGUGCAGCAAUGUGAAAAAUUUAUUGCCUGGAGAUGAGCUCGCGUCUGAUUAGCUAGUAGGUGUGGUAAGAGCGCACCUAGGCGACGAUCAGUAGCUGGUCUGAGAGGAUGAUCAGCCACACUGGGACUGAGACACGGCCCAGACUCCUACGGGAGGCAGCAGUGGGGAAUUUUCCGCAAUGGGCGAAAGCCUGACGGAGCAAUACCGCGUGAGGGAGGAAGGCUCUUGGGUUGUAAACCUCUUUUCUCAGGGAAGAAAAAAAUGACGGUACCUGAGGAAUAAGCAUCGGCUAACUCCGUGCCAGCAGCCGCGGUAAUACGGAGGAUGCAAGCGUUAUCCGGAAUGAUUGGGCGUAAAGCGUCCGCAGGUGGCUAUGUAAGUCUGCUGUUAAAGAGUCUGGCUCAACCAGAUAAAGGCAGUGGAAACUACAUGGCUAGAGUGCGUUCGGGGCAGAGGGAAUUCCUGGUGUAGCGGUGAAAUGCGUAGAGAUCAGGAAGAACACCGGUGGCGAAAGCGCUCUGCUAGGCCGCAACUGACACUGAGGGACGAAAGCUAGGGGAGCGAAUGGGAUUAGAUACCCCAGUAGUCCUAGCCGUAAACGAUGGAUACUAGGCGUGGCUUGUAUCGACCCGAGCCGUGCCGUAGCUAACGCGUUAAGUAUCCCGCCUGGGGAGUACGCAGGCAACUGUGAAACUCAAAGGAAUUGACGGGGGCCCGCACAAGCGGUGGAGUAUGUGGUUUAAUUCGAUGCAACGCGAAGAACCUUACCAGGACUUGACAUGUCGCGAAUUGAAGUGAAAGCUUCAAGUGCCUUCGGGAGCGCGAACACAGGUGGUGCAUGGCUGUCGUCAGCUCGUGUCGUGAGAUGUUGGACGACGUCCCGCAACGAGCGCAACCCUCGUUUUUAGUUGCCAGCAUUAAGUUGGGCACUCUAGAGAGACUGCCGGUGACAAACCGGAGGAGGGUGGGGAUGACGUCAAGUCAGCAUGCCCCUUACGUUCUGGGCUACACACGUACUACAAUGCUACGGACAAAGGGCAGCUACACAGCGAUGUGAUGCUAAUCUCAUAAACCGUGGCUCAGUUCAGAUCGCAGGCUGCAACUCGCCUGCGUGAAGGAGGAAUCGCUAGUAAUUGCAGGUCAGCAUACUGCAGUGAAUUCGUUCCCGGGCCUUGUACACACCGCCCGUCACACCAUGGAAGCUGGUAGUGCCCGAAGUCAUUACCCCAACCGCUUGCGGAGGGGGAUGCCUAAGGCAGGACUGGUGACUGGGGUGAAGUCGUAACAAGGUAGCCGUACCGGAAGGUGUGGCUGGAUCACCUCCUUUAAAGGAGACCUACCCGCUCAGAUAUUGAAAACAAAUUGUGAUUAGAUAUUGAGUUGGUCAUCCUAAAGGUCGGUCGCGACAGUUGUUAAUUGCUUUCAAACUAUAUUUUGGUUUGGUUCGUAUGGGCUAUUAGCUCAGGUGGUUAGAGCGCACCCCUGAUAAGGGUGAGGUCCCUGGUUCGAGUCCAGGAUGGCCCACCUGAAUCAAUGCAAAAUUCAAGCAUAGCAAACAUUGUGAAUUUUGAAUUUUGAAUUGUGUCUGGGGGUUUAGCUCAGUUGGUAGAGCGCCUGCUUUGCAAGCAGGAUGUCAGCGGUUCGAGUCCGCUAACCUCCACCAGAAAGUGAAAUGAGGGAAAAAGUUCAGCAACUGAGCAAUAUUUGCCAGACUGCUGGAUAUAUUUCCAGUGAUUGAACCUUGAAAACUGCAUAGUGAUAGCGAAUAAGCAGGCAGACACAGACACUCAGAUAAGUUGAGUAGUGUUUGCAUUGAAUACCAAUUGUUGAAGUGGUCAAGCUAAUAAGGGCUAACGGUGGAUACCUAGGCACACAGAGGCGAAG